GACGAACGCUGGCGGCGUGCUUAACACAUGCAAGUCGAACGGAAAGGCCCUGCUUUUGUGGGGUGCUCGAGUGGCGAACGGGUGAGUAACACGUGAGUAACCUGCCCUUGACUUUGGGAUAACUUCAGGAAACUGGGGCUAAUACCGGAUAGGAGCUCCUGCUGCAUGGUGGGGGUUGGAAAGUUUCGGCGGUUGGGGAUGGACUCGCGGCUUAUCAGCUUGUUGGUGGGGUAGUGGCUUACCAAGGCUUUGACGGGUAGCCGGCCUGAGAGGGUGACCGGCCACAUUGGGCCUGAGAUACGGCCCAGACGCCUACGGGAGGCAGCAGUGGGGAAUAUUGCACAAUGGGCGGAAGCCUGAUGCAGCAACGCCGCGUGCGGGAUGACGGCCUUCGGGUUGUAAACCGCUUUCGCCUGUGACGAAGCGUGAGUGACGGUAAUGGGUAAAGAAGCACCGGCUAACUACGUG
rnacentral:rRNA from 1 species